rnacentral:rRNA from 1 species
GAUGAACGCUGGCGGCGUGCUUAAUACAUGCAAGUCGAACGGACGGGCCCUGCUCUUGCGUGGUUCUCGAUUGCCGAACGGGUGAGUAACACGUGAGUAACCUCCCCCUGACUUUGUGAUAACAUUACGAGACUGGGUCGCUUAUCGCAUAUGAUCUCCUGCUGCAUGUUGGGGGAUGGAGAGUUUCGGUGUUUGGGGCUGGACUCGCGGCUUAUCAGCUGGUUUGUGGGGUAGUUGCGUACCAAGGCUAUGACGGCUAGCCGGCAUGGGAGGGUUACCGGCCACAUUGGGACUGAGAUACGGCGCAGUCGCCUAUGGGAGGCAGCGGUGGGGAAUAUUGCGCAAUGGGGGGAAGCCUGAUGCAGCAACGCCGCGUUCGGGAUGACGGGUUUCGGGUUGUAAACCGAUUUGGAAUGUGACGAAGAGUGAGUGACGGUAAUGGGUAAAGAAGCACCGGCUAACUACGUG